rnacentral:rRNA from 1 species
AACGAACGCUGGCGGCAUGCCUAACACAUGCAAGUCGAACGAGACCUUCGGGUCUAGUGGCGAACGGGUGCGUAACGCGUGGGAACCUGCCCUUAGGUUCGGAAUAACUCCCCGAAAGGGGUGCUAAUACCGGAUAAUGUCUUCGGACCAAAGAUUUAUCGCCUUUGGAUGGGCCCGCGUUGGAUUAGCUAGUUGGUAGGGUAAAAGCCUACCAAGGCGACGAUCCAUAGCUGGUCUGAGAGGAUGAUCAGCCACACUGGGACUGAGACACGGCCCAGACUCCUACGGGAGGCAGCAGUGGGGAAUAUUGGACAAUGGGCGAAAGACUGAUCCAGCAAUGCCGCGUGAGUGAUGAAGGCCUUAGGGUUGUAAAGCUCUUUUACCCGGGAUGAUAAUGACAGUACCGGGAGAAUAAGCUCCGGCUAACUCCGUG